GGUGGAUUGGUGGAAUUGGCAGACACGGCAGACUCAAAAUCUGUUGCCCUCACCCGGCGUAUGGGUUCAAGUCCCAUAUCCACCACCA
rnacentral:tRNA from 1 species